CGCGGCCUAUCAGCUUGUUGGUGGGGUAAUGGCCUACCAAGGCGUCGACGGGUAGCUGGUCUGAGAGGAUGAUCAGCCACACUGGGACUGAGACACGGCCCAGACUCCUACGGGAGGCAGCAGUGGGGAAUCUUGCGCAAUGGGCGAAAGCCUGACGCAGCAACGCCGCGUGCGGGAAGAAGGCCUUCGGGUUGUAAACCGCUUUCAGCAGGAACGAAAAUGACGGUACCUGCAGAAGAAGGUGCGGCCAACUACGUGCCAGCAGCCGCGGUGACACGUAGGCACCAAGCGUUGUCCGGAUUUAUUGGGCGUAAAGAGCUCGUAGGCGGUUCAGUAAGUCGGGUGUGAAAACCCUGGGCUUAACCCAGAGCCGCCACCCGAUACUGCUGUGACUAGAGUCCGGUAGGGGAGUGGGGAAUUCCUAGUGUAGCGGUGAAAUGCGCAGAUAUUAAGAGGAACACCGGUGGCGAAGGCGCCACUCUGGGCCGGAACUGACGCUGAGGAGCGAAAGCGUGGGUAGCAAACAGGAUUAGAUACCCUGGUAGUCCACGCCGUAUACGUUGGGCACUAGGUGUGGGCCUCAACCAACGAGGUCCGUGCCGUCGCUAACGCAUUAAGUGCCCCGCCUGGGGAGUACGG
rnacentral:rRNA from 1 species